GACGAACGCUGGCGGCGUGCUUAACACAUGCAAGUCGAACGGAAAGGCCCCUUUGGGGGUACUCGAGUGGCGAACGGGUGAGUAACACGUGAGUAACCUGCCCUUGACUUCGGGAUAACUUCAGGAAACUGGGGCUAAUACCGGAUAGGAAUCCUUGCUGCAGGGUGGGGGUUGGAAAGCUUCGGCGGUUUUGGAUGGACUCGCGGCUUAUCAGCUUGUUGGUGGGGUAGUGGCUUACCAAGGCUUUGACGGGUAGCCGGCCUGAGAGGGCGACCGGCCACAUUGGGACUGAGAUACGGCCCAGACUCCUACGGGAGGCAGCAGUGGGGAAUAUUGCACAAUGGGCGGAAGCCUGAUGCAGCAACGCCGCGUGCGGGAUGACGGCCUUCGGGUUGUAAACCGCUUUCAGCAGGGGCGAAGCUUGUGGUGACGGUACCUGCAGAAGAAGCACCGGCUAACUACGU
rnacentral:rRNA from 1 species